rnacentral:rRNA from 1 species
GAUGAACGCUAGCGGCAGGCCUAACACAUGCAAGUCGAGGGGCAGCAUAAAAUAAACUUGUUUAUUUGGUGGCGACCGGCGCACGGGUGCGUAACGCGUAUGUAACCUACCUUAUACUGGGGAAUAGCCCGAAGAAAUUCGGAUUAAUGCCCCAUAGUACUGAGACCUCUCCUGAGGAUUCAGUUAAAGCUUUGGCGGUAUAAGAUGGGCAUGCGUCCAAUUAGCUAGAUGGUGAGGUAACGGCUCACCAUGGCGACGAUUGGUAGGGGGCCUGAGAGGGUGGUCCCCCACACUGGUACUGAGACACGGACCAGACUCCUACGGGAGGCAGCAGUGAGGAAUAUUGGUCAAUGGGCGCAAGCCUGAACCAGCCAUGCCGCGUGAAGGAUGAAGGUUCUAUGGAUUGUAAACUUCUUUUAUUUGGGAAUAAACCUCUUUACGUGUAGAGAGCUGAAGGUACCAAAUGAAUAAGCACCGGCUAACUCCGUGCCAGCAGCCGCCGUAACAC